ACUGAAACAAAAAAUCAACAAAUACGUUCACCAUCAACGAUUACAACUACGAUGAUGAUCGGCAAAAGGUUUACACCGAUCAAGAGCUGGAAAAAAUAUGUACAUAUACGACUCGUAUGAAGAUAAUGAAAGGUAGUUAAAUGCUCGUUGCGACGGUGGGAUAAUACUGAACGUUGAUAAUUUUUAUUAUAAAGACAACAGAAGUUAAUGACAUAAAUACCGAAUCGCGAAGUUCGCUAUAUUAUGAAAAAAGCUAGAACUAGAACUUCUGUCUACUAUUUAUCAUCGAAUCUCUCGACUCGUUACACUUGGUUAUGGUAUUGAAUUCUUCUAUUUAUAUAAAAAGUGUCAUCCUUGCGUUUCUUAUUAAGAGUCUCUCAGGCUAUGAAUAUAGUAAAGCGGUGAGAAGCAAAGAUAGUGGCGAGGAGAGCAGCGCGGUAAAAUUAAACCAAUGUUUUCUAAUGAGAGUGUUUAUUAAUGAAGCGACGAAGAAAGUUGCGAGAAAGGCAACUAUAGUAGAAGUACAGCUAGAAUCAAAAAUAUUUGAUUCUGUUAGUAGAAAUAAACGAGAUCGAAGGCAUUCAGCUGGCCUCAGCAAUCAUCUAAUGGAUACUUUUCAAUAUCCUGUACAAUACGAAUACAAGACUCAAAUAUAAUGACCAUUACUUUUUAUGCUUACCAUCAGUCAGUACCUCAUCCAAGUUAUGUAUUAACAUAUUCAAUAUUAAAAUCUUAAUAUAUAAAGUAAAAUUAACUGUUAAACUAUAGGCUUUUUUUAUAAAAUAGUGAGUAAUUAAUUUUUUAAUUUAAAUUUACUUAUUGGUAAUAAUUAAGUGUUCUUCAAUACUAACAGGGUUCUGAACAAAAUUGGUCUAUUGAAGUAUAAUUUUUAAACAUACCAUUUCCAAAAUCCAAUCGAUUAGAUAUUGCAGCUAGAUAAUUAAAUAUUUUAAAAUAUUGCUGAAAUUUGUCAGGAUAUUGUCUUAAUUUUAAAUAUAAGUGGUUGUCUUUUUAUUCAUAAGAUAGACUAUUUUCUGACUCUGUUUCUUAAAUGAUCUGAAGCAAGGACAUAAUAUUUAAUUACAAUAUUUUCUGCAAGCAUGAGUUUGUGAAGUUCCAACAUCUUAAGAAACAUUGAAAAAAAUAGCUCGCUAUAGUAUUCUGUUGCUCAUUAUUCUCCAUUUGAGUAUAAACAUGCACAGCACUGUUCUACUAACCUCACAAUUUUCCUUUUUCCUCGUCGCUUUACUAUAAUCUCAUACCUAGGAAUAGAACACGACUUGAGUGAGAUUUAAGUAAUUAAAAUAUACAUAUGUACGAACAUGCAUACAUAUAUUUCGAGUUGUCGAUUUUUUCACAGCACUCUGUUAUUUCUUCCACAAAAUAAAUCAUGCACAUUAAAAGAGAACUGCGAUAAAGUGGAAAAAGGAGACAAAAGGCGAUGUGGGAAUCUCGCUUCGAAGAAUAAAAUAUUUAUCAUUUCUCCGAAGAGUGCGAAGGUUGUGCACACACAUAUGUAUCGUAUCUCCAUAAAAGCGAAUGCACAAGUAUAUUCGUGAUUAGUCAUCGCGGCGAGCUAAUAUCGAGCUAAAAGCAGUCAAGGAAAGUUAAGACCGUGACUCACUCUUGCUACAGCUUACGCUUAUGCACCGUGGUCAUUAAAAACGAAAAUCGACUCCCAAUUUGAAAAAAUCAUUUAUAUCUUGAAAA